rnacentral:sRNA from 1 species
GCCGGGUGUUGUGGCGGGCGCCUGUGGUCCCAGCUACUUGGGAGGCAGAGGCAGAAGACUCGCUUGAGCCCAAGAGUUGGAAGUUGCUGUGAGUUUUGAUGCCACGGCACUCUACCCAGGGGGGCAGCUUGAGGCUCUGUCUCAAAAAAAAAAAAAAAAAAAAUUGCAUGUUGAAAAACACACUUUUUUUUUUUUUGAGACAAAGUCUCAAGCUGUCACCCUGGGUACAGUGCCGUGGUGUCACUCUGCUCACAGCAACCUCAAACUCUUGGG